rnacentral:rRNA from 1 species
UACAGAGGUCUCGAGCGUUAGGCGGAAUCACUGGGCUUAAAGCGUGUGUAGGUGGAUCGUUAAGUACCUUGUGAAAUCCCACGGCUUAACCGUGGAACUGCUUGGUAUACUGGCGGUCUUGAGCCAGCUAGGGGCUACCGGAACAAAUGGUGGAGCGGUGAAAUGCGUAGAUAUCGGGAGGAACACCAGUGGCGAAGGCGGCUUCCUGGCCUGUUCUUGACGCUGAGGCGCGAAAGCUAGGGGAGCAAACGGG